AUUGAACGCUGGCGGCAGGCCUAACACAUGCAAGUCGAACGGUAACAGGAAGCAGCUUGCUGCUUCGCUGACGAGUGGCGGACGGGUGAGUAAUGUCUGGGAAACUGCCUGAUGGAGGGGGAUAACUACUGGAAACGGUAGCUAAUACCGCAUAACGUCGCAAGACCAAAGAGGGGGACCUUCGGGCCUCUUGCCAUCGGAUGGGCCCAGAUGGGAUUAGCUAGUAGGUGGGGUAACGGCUCACCUAGGCGACGAUCCCUAGCUGGUCUGAGAGGAUGACCAGCCACACUGGAACUGAGACACGGUCCAGACUCCUACGGGAGGCAGCAGUGGGGAAUAUUGCACAAUGGGCGCAAGCCUGAUGCAGCCAUGCCGCGUGUAUGAAGAAGGCCUUCGGGUUGUAAAGUACUUUCAGCGGGGAGGAAGGCGACAGGGUUAAUAACCCUGUCGAUUGACGUUACCCGCAGAAGAAGCACCGGCUAACUCCGUGCCAGCCGCCGCAGUAA
rnacentral:rRNA from 1 species